rnacentral:rRNA from 1 species
GGACCCGCACAAGCAGCGGAGCAUGUGGUUUAAUUCGAAGCAACGCGAAGAACCUUACCAGGUCUUGACAUCCCUCUGAAGUAGCCUUAGCCGGCUAUGUCCUUCGGGACAGGGGAGACAGGUGGUGCAUGGUUGUCGUCAGCUCGUGUCGUGAGAUGUUGGGUUAAGUCCCGCAACGAGCGCAACCCUUGUGUUUAGUUGCCAACAGGUAAGGCUGUGCACUCUAAACAGACUGCCGUGGAUAACACGGAGGAAGGUGGGGAUGACGUCAAAUCAUCAUGCCCCUUAUGAUCUGGGCUACACACGUGCUACAAUGGUCGGUACAACGGGCAGCGAAAGAGUAAUCUGGAGCGAAUCCUAAAAAGCCGAUCCCAGUUCGGAUUGUGGGCUGAAACUCGCCCACAUGAAGUUGGAGUUGCUAGUAAUCGCGAAUCAGAAUGUCGCGGUGAAUGCGUUCCCGGGUCUU